rnacentral:lncRNA from 1 species
GCCUAAAUAACAUUUGGACUGGACAUUGAGCUAUGUAUGCUGCAUAUGUUAUUUGCUCCUCAAAAGAACCCUUGAGAUCUAACUCAGGUGAUACGGUUUAGCUCUUUCCUCACCCAAAUCUCAUCUUGAAUUGUAGCUCCCAUAAUUCCCAUGUGUUGUGGGAGGGACCCAGUGGAAAAUAAUUGAAUCAUGGGAGCAGUUUCCCCCACUGUUCUCAUGGUAGUGAAUAAGUAAGUCUCACAAGAUCUGAUGGUUUUAUAAGAGGAAACCCCUUUCUCUUGGUUCUCAUUUUCUCUCUUGCCUGUGUCCAUGUAAGACAUGCCUUUCACCUUUUGCCAUGGUUAUGAGGCCUCCCCAGCCACGUGGAACUGUGAGUCCAUUAAACCUUUUUCUUUAUAAAUUACCCAGUCUUGGGUAUGUCUUUGUCAGCAGCAUGAAAGCGGACUAAUACAUCAUGUUAUCUCCACUUUUAUGACAGCAACAACAAAAAAAAGCCUCAUCGAUUUAAUUAACCAUCUUUCUUAAAAAUUACAUACUAAUAUUGACCCAAGUUUUUAGCAUAAGAGCUCUAAGGAAAAGGAAUGGUGAAAGUUUGUAGGUAUAGUUAUAAGUAUUGUAGCUUUGCCAUUUGCUAUUUGCGAAAGGCAUUUAACUUGCUCUUCAAUUUGGUUUCAUCUGUAACUGGGGCAUGAUACCUACUCUGCCUGUGCUACAUAGUUUUUUUUGUUUUGUUUUGUUUUUUUAAAGAAAAUGGUAGAAGUAUAUAAACUAUAAAAUGCUACUUAAAUGAAAGAUGGUAUUAAUGUUGGAUUUGAGAUCCAGGGUUUUUUGAGAUGGAAUUUCACUUUGUCACCAAGGCUACAGUGCAGUGGCGCAGUCUUGGCUCACUGCACCUCCACCUCCCAAGUUCAAGCGAUUAUCCUGCCUCAGCCUCCUGAGUAGCUGGGACUACAGGCAAGCACCACCACCACCACCGCACCAGGUGAAUUUUUUUGUUUGUUUGUUUGUUUUGAGACAGAGUCUUACUCUGUCACCC